rnacentral:rRNA from 1 species
UACGGGAGGCAGCAGUGGGGAAUAUUGCACAAUGGGGGAAACUCUGAUGCAGCAACGCCGCGUGGAGGAUGACACAUUUCGGGGUGUAAACUCCUUUUAUAUGGGAAGAAAAUGACGGUAUCAUAUGAAUAAGCACCGGCUAACUCCGUGCCAGCAGCCGCGGUAAUACGGAGGGUGCAAGCGUUACUCGGAAUCUCUGGGCGUAAAGAGCGCGNAGGCGGGUUAUUAAGUUUGAAGUGAAAUCCUAUGGCUCAACCAUAGAACUGCUUNUAAAACUGUUUUCCUAGAGUAUGGGAGGGGGAGAUGGAAUUAGUGGUGUAGGGGUAAAAUCCGUAGAGAUAACUAGGAAUACCCAAAGCGAAGGCGAUCUUCUGGAACACUACUGACGCUGAGGCGUGAAAGCGUGGGGAGCAAACAGGAUUAGAUACCCCGGUAGUCCACCCCCUAAACGAUGAACACUAGUCGUUGGGNCCAUAGUCNCUUCGGUGANNCANCUAACCCAUAAGU